AAAAUAAAGGCCCAAGACCCAUUUACAAAUCAUUCAAAAUUUUGGCCCAAAUUACAACAGAAACUUCCUGAUUUGAUCAUCGCUAUCAGCUGCAAAGAUAUAGUCUCAUAAGCUUCUCUUCCUCCUAAGCAAGAGAGAAUAGUUUUCUUUCACCAUAUCAUCUUGGAAAGGGAAAAGUACCUCUUGAUCUGUGAUGAACUCAGAAUCCACCUUUCUUUGCUUUAUAUAUGACCACUAAAAACUCUGUCUCGGUAACUGACCUAUCGAUAAUAACAUGACAUGUCGUCGCACAAAAACUGCCAUGGAAGAAGGAGUUUUUAGGUAUUUGCAUAAAAGUUAACAAAUGGGUUCGCUCGGCCAUGACUUUAGCUCUCUCCAGAGAAUUUUCCAGCCCAGAAUCGUCAGCUAAAAGCGUUCGUACAUUUUCAGGGUCACCUAUUAUACUAUCCCAGAGGAACUUGAGGUUACAUCACAAUGGGAAGGUUUUUGAACUGUGACUUGGCCACUGAUUUUCAGUUGCUCCUAAGGGUUAUAAUAUUAGAAUUUUUUGGUGCCGAGAUGUUUUCCCAUGCAUCUAUAUGUUGUUUUUUAAUGCUCAAGACAAUAAUCGACCAGGAUGCAACAAUGAAGGAAAUCUAAUACUGCAUUUUCUGUCUUCCGGUUGUCAUAACUUUUGAUUUGCCUUUGAGAACUUUAUUGUCAAUGAGAUGGUUCUGCAUAAAUCUUUAUAUGUUGUUUAUUAUGUUAUUGCUCUCCUGGUUUCCAUCUUCAUGUGAUGAACACAUAACAGUUACUCACUCUUUCAUGUCUUUUUGAAGGAUUGGCCGGAGAAGAAUGCUAAUUAGAAAUAUGUUGGGCUUUAAUACCAGCAAAAAUUUUUCUGAUGUUGGUGUUGGUGUUUCUCAUGUUGUUUUAUUUUUGUUUUGCUUGAUGCUGUUAUAAAUGAAUUGUACAAUAUGAGUGGAAAGAAAUGGCUGCUUCAUGUAUUGUACAGCAUACAUUUUCGUGUGCUUGUGGAAAAUCCUUCUCAGAGAAGAAUUGGUUGAAAAACGGAUGAAUAAAGGUAUUCUUUAUACAA